GUCUACAAUUGUACCUCCCUGAAUGCUUCUGAUCUCAUCUCAGAAGCUAAACAGGGUUGAGCCUGGUUAGUAUUUGAAUGGGAGAAUAUAAUCCUGUUUUUCUUAAUG
rnacentral:rRNA from 1 species